CCUGCAAAACUGUGGCCUCAGUCAAGUGGUUCGGCUCUUAACCUCUGCGCUCGCUUCAGCAAGGGUAUAUCUGAUAACCUCAGUGCCCACAUGCUGAUAUCGGCAGCUCUUUCUGUGAUCAGUUUCCUUCCUUUCCUUUAAAAAUGGAAACCCUCCUUCCACGUUCAUUACGAAAGGGUUCCGUGAAAGUGUAGGAGCAUCAGAGGGAGAUGCCUGGUGAACCGACAUGACGUGCCUAGCAUUAUCAGCUGUAAACCGGGAUUGAUUCUGACAAGCUCAGGGUGAGUUUGAUUUGUCCAUGCAUUAAUGUAUAUGAUAAUGUAUACAUUGGCAGGUCACCAUUGUUAGCAGAGAUGCUGGGCCACAGACAGAUGGAAUACUCAUGCAGAGGCUGACUUCCAUACUCAGUAAUAACUGAAAAGGAAAAGGAGAAAAAGGAAUCCCAAAUUCUCCACCAACAGUGCUGAUACGUGGGAUCGUCUUGUUUCUGAGACACAGCACCGCUGAUUGCUCACGGCCCCGCGUUUGAAGCUCCGGGAUAGGUGGGGCAGGGGAGGGGAAGCCUGGCCCAGGCCGUGGCUGAAAACAAGAAAGUCAUCAGAGUUCAACCUGCAGCCCGCUUUUGAUGUUCCUCUGACACAAAAAGUGGAAUUGCAGUGGGCGAUUAUGGCCUUUCAUCUUCCAGCCAGGCCGGCGGCCUGAGAGGUGAGGAUGAUGAUGCUGUCUGGUGGCCAGAGCUGAAGCCUUACCUGCUGACAUCCACGGAGCCCUAGCAGCAGAAUUCUGCUGUCAGAGGCACGGCUGUGCUGAAAAUAAGCAACUGGUUUGGAGUCCUGCUGCCUUGGUGAACUCUCUCACGUUUGCUUCGAGACUCCUGCCUCGUGACUCCUGCCUCAAGGCUGCUGCCUCAAGUAUCUUGCCUCAAGACUCCUGCCUUGAGUCUGCUGCCUUGGGACUUCUGCCUCAAGUCUCCUGCCUCCAUCUCCAUUUCUGAUGGCAUCACACAGCAGAUAACUGUAUUUGCAAAUCCUUUGUUGAAAAUGUCAUGGGGCAACAGUUUAUGUAAGGUGUCUUGAAGUGUUACAUUCACCGAUUGCUGUGGCAUAGUCUUCGCUUUGCUCAGUGCUGUUCUUUCUGUAGGCCAUUGUGGUAGGUACUGUAAUGUUUUCAUGAUGAAAAUAGCUCUGUGUGAGAUUUGCCAAUAUUUGUACUCAACGUGUAAUAUUUGUCCUCAGUGUAUAAUGCUUGUGAAUCAGGAAUCUUCUGACAUCUGCUGUAGUUACUCUCUGUUGAGCAUGUGAUAUGUUUACACAUAAUGCAAGCUUACAGCUAGGGUAAGAGUUGUAAUGAAGCAAUAUCUUAGCAGUAUCUUAAAAUUUAAUUUCUAGUUAUUCUGCUUGGGAUGCUCCUAAAAUUGUUUUUCACAUGUCUUUUAUGUGGAGACAUUAGUGCACUGCUCGGUAAAAGUUGUUUCCUUCUGUUUUCCACAGGCAAAUGUCCCUAAUGAUAAACAGAAAGCCAUAAUUUUUGGAGCCCUGUUUCUCAUCAUGCUGAGAUUUUCCAAUCUUCCAAAAUCCCUUGAUCAUUUAAGUCAUUAUGUAUGCUGCACCUAUUUGGAUGGUUUAAGCAUCAGACAGAAGAACCUACUUUGUUCGCACCACCAAAGUAGAGUAAUGUCACAGAAAUGAUUGUCUCGAAUGCCUAAAUCAUUGUUGUCUUUAGUUUUAGUUGUGAAAAAAAUCCUUUUUUUUCUCUUGAAUCAUAGGUCCAAACCAUUAUUUUCAGCAGAGACUUUAUUUUCAGCAGAGACUUUUGCAGUACGAGGCUAAUCCAGCAAACGGCUAUAAUUAGAUAUACACGCUGCAAUUGCAAGGACAUGCUGUGUGGGCUUACAGGCGGCAGAGCAUUUUCUUGUGCGGUCCUGUUUAAGCCAUGGUAUUUGCAUGACGUUUAGUCCAGUGAACGCUGUUUAGAGUGCAUCUCCUGGGGAACAUUCAAGGAGACGAGUGUGGGAAGCCAUGAAUUAGUCUACUACCGUAUGCCUUCUUCUCUCACCGGCAACGGGGGCUGAUGUCGAAGGGAGGAAGGCAACCUCUCGUGACAUUGGUGCCAGGGCAUAGCUGAUGUGUUGAGCUCGUCCUUGUGAAAGCACAUCUUUUAAAGGCAAUAAAAGCAUGAAAAUGAAUCAAA